UUGCUUUGGCAGUACAUGUACUAAAAUUGGAACCACACAGAGAUUAGCAUCGCCUCUGUGCAAGGACGACACGUAAAUUCAUGAAGCGAUUUACAGUUUU
rnacentral:snRNA from 1 species